AGGAGUAAAGCUCUGUCCAGUGAGCCC
rnacentral:piRNA from 1 species